AGCAGCCGCGGUAAUUCCAGCUCCAAUAGCGUAUAUUAAAGUUGUUGCAGUUAAAAAGCUCGUAGUUGAACUUCGGGGUUUACCCAUUGGUCAGGCUUAAUUGUCUGUACUGGUGAGAUGAAUCUCUACCUUCUGAGGAACUUUCAUGCCAUUUAUUUGGUGUGAUGGGAAAUCAGGACUGUUACUUUGAAAAAUUAGAGUGUUUAAAGCAGGCUAACGUCUGAAUACAUUAGCAUGGAAUAAUGAAAUAGGACGGACUGAUUCUAUUUCGUUGGUUUCUAAGAUCACCGUAAUGAUUAAUAGGGAUAGUUGGGGGCAUUAGUAUUCAAUUGUCAGAGGUGAAGUUCUUGGAUUUAUUGAAGACUAACUACUGCGAAAGCAUUUGCCAAGGAUGUUUUCAUUAAUCAAGAACGAAAGUUAGGGGAUCGAAGACGAUCAGAUACCGUCGUAGUCUUAACCAUAAACUAUGCCGACUAGGGAUCGGACGAAGUUAAUUUU
rnacentral:rRNA from 1 species